AAGAAGAAGACUAAGGUCCUACCAUCAGCACCCAAAGCUGAAAUUCUACAUAAACUACUUCUUG
rnacentral:tRNA from 1 species